rnacentral:rRNA from 1 species
UUUGAUCAUGGCUCAGGAUGAACGCUAGCGGCAGGCCUAACACAUGCAAGUCGAGGGGUAAGCGUAGCUUGCUACGCCUAGACCGGCGCACGGGUGCGUAACGCGUGUACAAUCUACCUUUUACUGGGGAAUAGCCCGAAGAAAUUUGGAUUAAUGCCCCAUAGUAUAGAGCAGUGGCAUCACAGCACUAUUAAAGCUUCGGUGGUAAGAGAUGAGUACGCGUUCUAUUAGUUAGUUGGUGAGGUAACGGCUCACCAAGGCUAUGAUAGAUAGGGGUUCUGAGAGGGAUGUCCCCCACACUGGUACUGAGGUACGGACCAGACUCCUACGGGAGGCAGCAGUGAGGAAUAUUGGUCAAUGGUCGGAAGACUGAACCAGCCAUGCCGCGUGCAGGAUGACGGCCUUAUGGGUUGUAAACUGCUUUUGUAUGGGAAGAAUAAGGGGUACGUGUACUCUGAUGACGGUACUAUAUGAAUAAGCAUCGGCUAACUCCGUGCCAGCAGCCGCGGUAAUACGGAGGAUGCGAGCGUUAUCCGGAAUCAUUGGGUUUAAAGGGUCUGUAGGCGGGCUAUUAAGUCAGAGGUGAAAGCACUGAGCUCAACUGAGUAACUGCCUUUGAAACUGAUAGUCUUGAAUACUUACGAAGUAGCUGGAAUGUGUAGUGUAGCGGUGAAAUGCUUAGAUAUUACACAGAACACCGAUAGCGAAGGCAUGUUACUAGUAAGGUUAUUGACGCUGAGGGACGAAAGCGUGGGGAGCGAACAGGAUUAGAUACCCUGGUAGUCCACGCUGUAAACGAUGGAUACUAGCUGUUUGCGAGAAAUUGUGAGUGGCUAAGCGAAAGUGAUAAGUAUCCCACCUGGGGGAGUACGCACGGCGAGGUGUGAAACUCGAAGGAAUUGACGGGGGCCGGCGAGAAGCGGUGGAGCAUGUGGUUUNAUUCGAUGAUACGCGAGGAACCUUACAAAGGUUAANUGGGGAGCGACGUAGGUAGAGAUACCUAUUUUNCUCGACGCUUUUCAGGUGGCUGCAUGGUUGUC